UGGGGAAUUUUGCACAAUGGAGGAAACUCUGAUGCAGCGACGCCGCGUGAGUGAUGAAGAUCUUCGGAUUGUAAAACUCUGUCCUUAGUGAAGAUAAUGACAGUAACUAAGAAGCAAGCCCUGGCUAAAUACGUGCCAGCAGCCGCGGUAAUACGUAUGGGGCAAGCGUUGUCCGGAAUUAUUGGGCGUAAAGGGUACGUAGGCGGUUUAAUACGUCCUAAUUAAAAGGCUAUGGCUCAACCAUAGUAUGGUUAGGAAACUGUUGAACUUGAGUAGAUGAGGGGAAAGUGGAAUUCCAUGUGUAGCGGUGAAAUGCGUAGAUAUAUGGAGGAACACCAAUGGAGAAGGCAACUUUCUGGAAUCAAACUGACGCUGAGGUACGAAGGCGUGGGGAGCAAACAGG
rnacentral:rRNA from 1 species